rnacentral:rRNA from 1 species
GAUGAACGCUGGCGGCGUGCCUAAUACAUGCAAGUCGAGCGAAUGGACUAAGAGCUUGCUCUUAUGAAGUUAGCGGCGGACGGGUGAGUAACACGUGGGUAACCUGCCCAUAAGACUGGGAUAACUCCGGGAAACCGGGGCUAAUACCGGAUAAUAUUUUGAACUGCAUGGUUCAAAAUUGAAAGGCGGCUUCGGCUGUCACUUAUGGAUGGACUCGCGUCGCAUUAGCUAGUUGGUGAGGUAACGGCUCACCAAGGCAACGAUGCGUAGCCGACCUGAGAGUGUGAUCGGCCACACUGGGACUGAGACACGGCCCAGACUCCUACGGGAGGCAGCAGUAGGGAAUCUUCCGCAAUGGACGAAAGUCUGACGGAGCAACGCCGCGUGAGUGAUGAAGGCUUUCGGGUCGUAAAACUCUGUUGUUAGGGAAGAACAAGUGCUAGUUGAAUAAGCUGGCACCUUGACGGUACCUAACCAGAAAGCCACGGCUAACUACGUGCCAGCAGCCGCAGUAA